GAAAGGAAUGCUGACCAGCCAGGCCACUGCAUUAGUUUUGUACAUUGUGCACCAUCUGCGCCGCUCUCCUCAGUGCCCUGGGCCAGCAGGUGUUGCUGUUCUCUCUUCUCUUAGAGAGGAAAGAAGAGGGAGCAAGAGAGGGAAACAUGAUAUGAAAUCACAUGGAUUGGCUGUCUCCUGCAGGCCCCUGACUGGGUGCAAUGCAGGCAUUGCCCUGAUCUGGAAUAGAACUGGCAACCUCUCAAAGCAUGGAGUAUACAAUGGAGUCUACCAGAAGCUACAUUCUGUCUGAUAUUACAGAGAUUGCACCAGAAGCAGAUGAGAAUGCAGCUGUCUUCGAUUAAGGCAGACAUUAAAGAGAUUUGUAAAAAUAAAAAACAAUGUCACUCUUUAUAGUUUUUUUUAGUGAUCUAUAAUUUAAAAUGUUAUUUAUGCUAACAUGUGUGGCUUUUUGUUAUUUUAAAAUAAAUUAAUAGGUCACUAUUU